rnacentral:piRNA from 2 species
UCCACGCAUCGACCUGGUAUUGCAGUACU